rnacentral:rRNA from 1 species
UACGUAGGUGGCAAGCGUUGUCCGGAGUUAUUGGGCGUAAAGCGCGCGCAGGCGGUGCGGUAAGUCUCUGGUGAAAGCGCUCGGCUUAACUGGGCGGAGGGCCGGGGGAGACUGCCACGCUGGAGGGGAGCAGAGGCGAGUGGAAUUCCGGGGUGUAGUGGUGAAAUGCGUAGAGAUCCGGAGGAACACCAGUGGCGAAGGCGGCUCGCUGGGCUCUACCUGACGGCUGAGGCACGAAAGCGUGGGGAGCAAACAGG